AAGCACCGGCUAACUACGUGCCAGCAGCCGCGGUAAUACGUAGGGUGCAAGCGUUGUCCGGAAUUAUUGGGCGUAAAGAGCUCGUAGGCGGUUUGUCGCGUCUGCUGUGAAAACCUGAGGCUCAACCUCAGACCUGCAGUGGGUACGGGCAAGCUAGAGUGCGGUAGGGGAGAUGGGAAUUCCUGGUGUAGCGGUGGAAUGCGCAGAUAUCAGGAGGAACACCGAUGGCGAAGGCACAUCUCUGGGCCGUAACUGACGCUGAGGAGCGAAAGCGUGGGGAGCGAACAGGAUUAGAUACCCUGGUAGUCCACGCCGUAAACGGUGGGUGCUNGUUGUGGGU
rnacentral:rRNA from 1 species